UUGGAGGGCAAGUCUGGUGCCAGCAGCCGCGGUAAUUCCAGCUCCAAUAGCGUAUAUUAAAGUUGUUGCAGUUAAAAAGCUCGUAGUUGAAUUUCGGGGUCAGUAGGUUGGUCGUGCCACUGGUACGUACUGGUCUCACUGAUUCCUCCUUCCUGAUGAACCGUAAUGCCAUUAAUUUGGUGUUGCGGGGAAACUGGACUGUUACUUUGAAAAAAUUAGAGUGUUUAAAGCAGGCUAACGCUUGAAUACAUUAGCAUGGAAUAAUGAAAUAGGACGUUCGAUCCUAUUUUGUUGGUUUCUAGGAUUGACGUAAUGAUUAAUAGGGAUAGUUGGGGGCAUUAGUAUUCAAUUGUCAGAGGUGAAAUUCUUGGGUUUAUUGAAGACUAACUACUGCGAAAGCAUUUGCCAAGGAUGUUUUCAUUAAUCAAGAACGAAAGUUAGGGGAUCGAAGACGAUCAGAUACCGUCGUAGUCUUAACCAUAAACUAUGCCGACUAGGGAUCGGAUGAUGUUAAUUUUUUAAUGACUCAUUCGGCACCUUACGGGAAAC
rnacentral:rRNA from 1 species